rnacentral:rRNA from 1 species
AAGUCCUGACUAGAUAGCCAUGCAUGUCUAAGUAUAAGCAAUUUAUACAGUGAAACUGCGAAUGGCUCAUUAAAUCAGUUAUCGUUUAUUUGAUAGUACCUUUACUACUUGGAUAACCGUGGUAAUUCUAGAGCUAAUACAUGCUAAAAAUCCCGACUGUUUGGAAGGGAUGUAUUUAUUAGAUAAAAAAUCAAUGCUCUUUGAGCUCUUUGAUGAUUCAUAAUAACUUUUCGAAUCGCAUGGCCUUGUGCUGGCGAUGGUUCAUUCAAAUUUCUGCCCUAUCAACUUUCGAUGGUAGGAUAGUGGCCUACCAUGGUUUCAACGGGUAACGGGGAAUAAGGGUUCGAUUCCGGAGAGGGAGCCUGAGAAACGGCUACCACAUCCAAGGAAGGCAGCAGGCGCGCAAAUUACCCAAUCCCGACACGGGGAGGUAGUGACAAUACAUAACGAUACAGGGCCCUUUCGGGUCUUGUAAUUGGAAUGAGUACAAUGUAAAUACCUUAACGAGGAACAAUUGGAGGGCAAGUCUGGUGCCAGCAGCCGCGGUAAUUCCAGCUCCAAUAGCGUAUAUUAAAGUUGUUGCAGUUAAAAAGCUCGUAGUUGAACUUUGGGCUUGGUUGGCCGGUCCGCCUUUUUGGCGAGUACUGGACCCAACCGAGCCUUUCCUUCUGGCUAACCAUUCGCCCUUGUGGUGUUUGGCGAACCAGGACUUUUACUUUGAAAAAAUUAGAGUGUUCAAAAGCAGGCCUUUGCUCGAAUAUAUUAGCAUGGAAUAAUAGAAUAGGACGUUAUGGGUUCUAUUUUUGUUGGUUUCUAGGACCAUCGUAUGAUUAAUAAGGGACGGUCGGGGGCAUCAGUAUUCAGUUGCCAAAGUGAAGAUCCUAGAUUUACUGAAGACUAACUACUGUCGAACGUAUUUGCCACGGACGUUUUCUUUAAUCCAAGAACGAACGUUAUGUGAAUCGAGAAUGAUCAGAUCCAUCGAAGUCCUAAACAUAUACUUAGGCCGACUAGUGAACCGGAUGUUGUUCUUUUUUGAACCCACUCGAUACGCUACCAAAAAAUGCUAAUCUUCGGGAUUCUGGAGGGGGGAUAUAUAUCCGAAGGCUUGACAAACUUAACAGGAUAUUGGCCGGACAUUGUACACGUCACUGAGUCGAGUGCAUCGCUGGCCUUGUACUUGCAUCUACAUCACGAGUAUAAUCUCUCAUACAGAUCCAGAUACCUCUAUUUA